rnacentral:rRNA from 1 species
GGUAGCGUGAUUCUUGUUUUCUUAAUUAUGAAAUCUGUUCAAAGAAUGUAAUGGAGAGGAACUAUGGUUCUCUCAUAUAAAGUGAAUUUAAAUUGUUAGUGAAAAUUCUGACAAAUGUUUAAAAGACGAGAAGACCCCAUAAAACUUAAUUUGAAGUAUUCUUUAAUAUCUUAAAAUUUAGAUGGGGACUUUAGAGUAAAUAAAUAACUUAAAGACCUAUUGAUCUAUUAAUUGAGAAGCUACUUUGGGGAUAACAGGGUAAAAUAUUUGGAGAGUCCUUAUCGAUAAAUAUGCCUACUACCUCGAUGUUGGAUUAUCGGAUCCAA